GUGGGGAAUAUUGGGCAAUGGGCGAAAGCCUGACCCAGCAACGCCGCGUGAAGGAAGAAGGUCUUCGGAUCGUAAACUUCUAUCCUUGGUGAAGAUAAUGACGGUAGCCGAGAAGGAAGCCCCGGCUAACUACGUGCCAGCAGCCGCGGUAAUACGUAUGGGGCAAGCGUUGUCCGGAAUGAUUGGGCGUAAAGGGCGCGUAGGCGGCCUGGUAAGUCUGGAGUGAAAGUCCUGCUUUUAAGGUGGGAAUUGCUUUGGAUACUGUCGGGCUUGAGUGCAGGAGAGGUAAGUGGAAUUCCCGGUGUAGCGGUGAAAUGCGUAGAGAUCGGGAGGAACACCAGUGGCGAAGGAGACUUACUGGACUGUAACUGACGCUGAGGCGCGAAAGUGUGGGGAGCAAACAGGAUUAGAUACCCGUGUAGUCC
rnacentral:rRNA from 1 species